rnacentral:rRNA from 1 species
GAUGAACGCUGGCGGCGUGCUUAACACAUGCAAGUCGAACGAGAAGUGGAGACGGAAACCUUCGGGCGGAAGACUUUAUUUCGAGUGGCGGACGGGUGAGUAACGCGUGGGUAACCUGCCUCAUACAGGGGGAUAACAGUUGGAAACGACUGUUAAUACCGCAUAAGACCGCAGCACCGCAUGGUGCGGGGGUAAAAACUCCGGUGGUAUGAGAUGGACCCGCGUUCGAUUAGCCAGUUGGCGGGGUAACGGCCCACCAAAGCGACGAUCGAUAGCCGAUCUGAGAGGAUGACCGGCCACAUUGGGACUGAGACACGGCCCAAACUCCUACGGGAGGCAGCAGUGGGGAAUAUUGCACAAUGGGGGAAACCCUGAUGCAGCGACGCCGCGUGAGUGAAGAAGUAUUUCGGUAUGUAAAGCUCUAUCAGCAGGGAAGAAAAUGACGGUACCUGAGGAAGAAGCCCCGGCUAACUACGUG